GAAGCCGAGCUCAUUGGGUUCCCAUCAUGGCCUGGGCCGCUCUGCUCCUCACGCUGCUCACUUACUGCAUUGGUUUCAGUUCCCAGCAGCUCCAGUCGCUGAAGGCGUCCGAGUUAGUGUCUCCUGGAGGGACCGUGACUCUCUCCUGCAGCCUGAGCAGUGGGGCCCUCACUGAUCACAACCACCCGUUCUGGGUUCAACAGAGACUGGGGAAUGUUCCUCGACUGAUCAUGUACAGCACGAGUACCAGGCCAUCGGCAAUCCCAGAGCGUUUCACUGGCUCCAGAUCGGGUAACACCAUGUCCUUGACCAUCACGGGGGCCCUGGUGGAGGAUGAUGCUGAUUAUUACUGCUCUGUGUGGGCUGUGAGCAUUCAGCACAGUGAUACAGUCAGAUGGGGAAGUGAUACAAGAAGCUCCCUCUGCAAGAUGGGCCAUAGAACUUCACCCAGUAACUCCUGUCAAAACAUGAUUAAAGUACCCAUACAAGGGAUCACACUUUCCAAACCUGUGAAACGACACUGCCCAUGUCUUUUUCAGUACAAAUCAGGUCUCUGCAGAGUGCUGGGCCUCUGAGCUGUGACCGAAGCAAUAACAGGAAGUGUGUCUGAGAGUGAGUGAGGCUGAGAGCACCAGGGCUGUUUAGAGACACAAGAGUUGGGGCUUGACUGAGGUCAACUGAGGGGCAGUCAAGACCUCAUACAAUCUAAGCCCUCAGAGACUCUAUACAGACCAGGAGGUGG